rnacentral:lncRNA from 1 species
CCGAGCUCGAACUCCAAAAGGAAGCGUCAAACUCGAGUGGCCCCGGACAAAUCUGCGGCCAUAAACAAAAGGGAUGGGUCAAUGCGAUGAUGAUUGGGUACCUUCGAAUGACACGAUAUCGAGCAAGACAAAAACCGAAAGAAGUUCGGCAAACGACAACUCAACACGUGAGUAAAAGAGGUAACAAAAAAUUUCUUUUUCAUGUCAUUAACUAAGUAUGCAUUACAAAUCCCUUAAGGCCGA